GUCGCGUUUACGAAAAACGAGAAGAAACAGAGUCAAAAUCUACACGAACACUUGUGGCAAGAUACCAGCACGCGUUUAGUGUUGUGAUAGAGAUUCUGGUGUCAGGAAGGGGAGCUCCAGUGUGCCAAGACAUUGUUUUGUCAUUAGAAUAAAAAAUAGUUUUAGCUAUGUAACGUACGUUAACAGGCACUACAUGCCUGUAUUAUUGUUGUUCCCUUCUACUUGUAUUUUUCGUUGUGACAGCUUACUCCAAUAGGAAGUACAGAACACUCCCAAUAUGAUUUGAAGCGA